rnacentral:rRNA from 1 species
AGCGAACGCUGGCGGCAGGCCUAACACAUGCAAGUCGAACGGAUCCUUCGGGAUUAGUGGCGGACGGGUGAGUAACACGUGGGAACGUGCCUUUUGGUUCGGAACAACGCAGAGAAAUUUGCGCUAAUACCGAAUGUGCCCUUCGGGGAAAGGAUUUAUCGCCAUUAGAGCGGCCCGCGUCUGAUUAGCUAGUUGGUGAGGUAAAGGCUCACCAAGGCUACGAUCAGUAGCUGGUCUGAGAGGAUGAUCAGCCACAUUGGGACUGAGACACGGCCCAAACUCCUACGGGAGGCAGCAGUGGGGAAUCUUGCGCAAUGGGCGAAAGCCUGACGCAGCCAUGCCGCGUGAAUGAUGAAGGUCUUAGGAUUGUAAAAUUCUUUCACCGGGGACGAUAAUGACGGUACCCGGAGAAGAAGCCCCGGCUAACUUCGUG